rnacentral:rRNA from 1 species
UGGGGAAUUUUGGACAAUGGGCGAAAGCCUGAUCCAGCAAUGCCGCGUGUGUGAAGAAGGCCUUCGGGUUGUAAAGCACUUUUGUCCGGAAAGAAAUCCCUGGCUCUAAUACAGUCGGGGGAUGACGGUACCGGAAGAAUAAGCACCGGCUAACUACGUGCCAGCAGCCGCGGUAAUACGUAGGGUGCAAGCGUUAAUCGGAAUUACUGGGCGUAAAGCGUGCGCAGGCGGUUUGCUAAGACCGAUGUGAAAUCCCCGGGCUCAACCUGGGAACUGCAUUGGUGACUGGCAGGCUAGAGUAUGGCAGAGGGGGGUAGAAUUCCACGUGUAGCAGUGAAAUGCGUAGAGAUGUGGAGGAAUACCGAUGGCGAAGGCAGCCCCCUGGGCCAAUACUGACGCUCAUGCACGAAAGCGUGGGGAGCAAACAGGAUUAGAUACCCUGGUAGUCCACGCCCUAAACGAUGUCAACUAGUUGUUGGGGAUUCAUUUCCUUAGUAACGUAGCUAACGCGUGAAGUUGACCGCCUGGGGAGUACGGUCGCAAGAUUAAAACUCAAAGGAAUUGACGGGGUCAUAGCUGUUUCCU